rnacentral:rRNA from 1 species
CAGCAGCCGCGGUAAUACAGAGGGUGCGAGCGUUAAUCGGAUUUACUGGGCGUAAAGCGUGUGUAGGUUGUUGUUCAAGUCAGUUGUGAAAUCCCUGGGCUCAACCUGGGAACUGCUUCUGAGACUGAACGACUAGAGUACGGUAGAGGGUGGUGGAAUUUCCGGUGUAGCGGUGAAAUGCGUAGAUAUCGGAAGGAACAUCAAUGGCGAAGGCAGCCACCUGGGCCUGUACUGACACUGAGACACGAAAGCGUGGGGAUCAAACAGGAUUAGAUACCCGUGUAGUCCCUGUCUCUUAUAU